rnacentral:rRNA from 1 species
AUUGAACGCUGGCGGCAUGCCUUACACAUGCCAGUCGAACGGCAGCACGGGUGCUUGCACCUGGUGGCGAGUGGCGAACGGGUGAGUAAUACAUCGGAACAUGUCCUGUAGUGGGGGAUAGCCCGGCGAAAGCCGGAUUAAUACCGCAUACGAUCCACGGUUGAAAGCGGGGGACCUUCGGGCCUCGCGCUAUAGGGUUGGCCGAUGGCUGAUUAGCUAGUUGGUGGGGUAAAGGCCUACCAAGGCGACGAUCAGUAGCUGGUCUGAGAGGACGACCAGCCACACUGGGACUGAGACACGGCCCAGACUCCUACGGGAGGCAGCAGUGGGGAAUUUUGGACAAUGGGCGAAAGCCUGAUCCAGCAAUGCCGCGUGUGUGAAGAAGGCCUUCGGGUUGUAAAGCACUUUUGUCCGGAAAGAAAUCCUUGGCUCUAAUACAGUCGGGGGAUGACGGUACCGGAAGAAUAAGCACCGGCUAACUACGUG